rnacentral:rRNA from 1 species
GACGAACCGAGCGAACGUUGUUCGGAAUCACUGGGCUUAAAGGGCGCGUAGGCGGGCUGUCAAGUCUGGGGUGAAAUCCCGCGGCUCAACCGCGGAACUGCCUCAGAUACUGACGGUCUCGAGGGAGGUAGGGGCGAGCGGAACUGAUGGUGGAGCGGUGAAAUGCGUUGAUAUCAUCAGGAACUCCGGUGGCGAAGGCGGCUCGCUGGACCGGUAUUGACGCUGAGGAGCGAAAGCCAGGGGAGCAAACGGG